CAAAAGGCUUAUGGUUCAUAUAUCUAUCACUAAAAAUUUUCACAACAUAACGUAAUAUAACAGAACAUUGUAGCUUUAUUUCAUGUCAGGACAGAAGGUAUCCAUGGUGAUGCGGGUUAAUCUAGAUUGCCUUGUUGUAAGAAAAUGAGAAGAAUAAUUCUGCGAAUGAAAGAAAUAGAGAUGCACCUGAUUGAGACGCAAGAGAAGAGAAUAAGCAUAUUGGGAAGGUUAGAUCCGGCAGAUACAGCCAUAAGAAUAAGGGAAAAAAUGAACCGGAGAGUAGAGAUUUUGGACAUUCAAUUACCCCAACAACCUGACCUUGACCCUGACUAGAUGCAUCAGCAACCCACGUAAACUACCUUCUUUUACCUAAUAUUCAAAAACUUUAUGCUUUCUUUCUUUGUAUAUAAUCAAUUAAUACCAAAUUAAUCUCAUUUCUUUUAA